rnacentral:rRNA from 1 species
AUGUACUUUGUUUGCACUGUCCCUGAAGGUGUUGACGUGGCUGCAACGGUACUAGAAGGAGCUCGGUUUGAUGGAAAGCAGCCUGUUUCCAAGAUGACUACGCGGCUAACUCAAUUUUAUGAGGAGUUCAACACAUAUAAUGAAAUCCAUGACAGUUUCGUUGAGAUGGGUCUUCGAGAAAAUCUGCUGAAAGGAAUAUAUGCAUAUGGUCUGGCGAUGCCUUCUGCAAUCCAUCGACGAGGAAUUGUCCCAUUCUGCAAGGGUCUGGAUGUUAUCCAGCAGUCACUGUCUGGAACAACUGUGACACUUGCCUGUGGAGUUCUCCAGCGACUCGAUUAUGGAUCCACGGAAUGCCAAGCUUUGGUUCUUGUACCAACGCGUGACUUGGCACAGGAGACCGAGAAAGUUAUUGGAGCACUUGGUCAGUGGCUAGGUGUCAAAGCUCAUGCUUGUCUUGGAGGAACUAGUAUUCGUGAGGAGAAGCAAAUAUCGUCGAGCAGCAAUCAGGUUAUUGUCGCCACUCCUGGCCGCGCUCUUAACAUGCUGACAAGACGAGCACUUUGUCCAGAUAACAUCAGAAUGUUCGUCUUGGAUGAAGCUGAUGAAAUACUCGCAGGAGGUUUGAAGAACCAGAUCUACGAUAUUAUCCAGCUUCUCCCAGCCAAAAUCCUGUUUGCUGUAUUCUCUACCGCCAUGUCCAAUGAAGCUCUUGAACUUUGCCGGAAGUGCAUGAAUAAGCCUAUGAAGGUCAUAGUGCCGAAAGAUGAAGAACUUGAGGGUUUUAGUGUUAAGCAGUUCUAUGUUAAAGCUGAGAAUGAAGAAUCGAAGUUUCAAAAAUUAUGUGAUCUUUUUGACACCAUGGCCGUCAUGCAAAACAUCAUCUUUGUCAACGCACGUCGGAAGGUCAAGCCACUGACCGAAAAGAUCAGAGGCAGGGGGUACACUGUCUCGGCAAGCCAUGGUGGUAUGGACCAGCACUCCAGAGAUGCUGCCGUCCAGGAUCUCCAGUCGGGAUCAUCCCGUGUCCUCGUCACCACCGACCUUCAUGGCGCUGAUGCAUUGCAGGUCCCUGUUGUCAUCAACUAUGAUCUGCCAGCACAACCAGUACAAUACCUUCGUAAUGUUCGACGAAGUGGACAUCCUGGAGGGAUUGGUGUAGCUAUCAGCUUUGUUGCUCGUGCUGAUGAGCGUGUUCUGUCUGGCAUCCAAAGGUUCUGCAAUACUCAGAUGGCGGAGUUACCCUCCAACGUCGCUGACCUCUUGUGA